UACGGAGGGUGCAAGCGUUGUCCGGAUUUAUUGGGUUUAAAGGGUGCGUAGGCGGCCCGUUAAGUCCGUGGUGAAAGCCCAUCGCUCAACGAUGGAACUGCCAUGGAUACUGACGGGCUUGAGUACAGACGAGGUAGGCGGAAUUGAUGCUGUAGCGGUGAAAUGCAUAGAUAGCAUCAAGAACACCGAUUGCGUAGGCAGCUUACUAGGCUGUAACUGACGCUGAGGCACGAAAGCGUGGGGAGCGAACAGG
rnacentral:misc_RNA from 1 species